ACUCACCCACCGUUGCUAUCUUUGUUUAUAUAUAUAUUGUUUUUCUGUCUAUAUAAGAUCACUGAGAUGAUGUCUCUUGCAACUCCACUUGCCUGUAUUAUCUUUUUGUCGGCUGGAAAUUAACUGAAGCCCAUGUUUCGUUGAAGACAGAAGGAUCAAGCAUGGGUAUGCCAAAGCCUUCUUCUACUCUGCUUCUGCUGUUGCUUAUAGUCACUGUUUCUGCAUCCCAGAAACAAAUAACAUCAGAAGCAAGGACACUUUUGUCCCAGAAACAAAAGUAUUCCAAGAUUUUUUCGACACUGGGAGUUGUUUGCAAGUGUUGUGAUGAAACUGGAGCUGAGUGCGCAACUACUUGGACGGGUUCUUGCCAUAAUCUCCAAUGUCUUCCAUGGAAGAUAUAGACUAGACUAGUCAGGGAUUUCCUUGCGUCUUCUCUUGUUAGUGGUUUUUGUACAUAUAUGUAGUCAUACUCGAUCAAUGAUUCAAGCAGCUUUCGAGAUUUGGCCAUGUUCUAGAUUCAUAAAAUGUUCCUAACUUGACGAGCUUAAUUUGGUAGCCAAAUUUAAAACUACAUGAAAUAUUUUAAGCUUAACUUCUCUAAAGAUGUAUUGUAACUUGAAUCCCAUAUUAUGGUAUUGAGCAUGUCAUUCAAGUGCUGGGAUGAUUAA